rnacentral:rRNA from 1 species
UACAGAGGUCUCAAGCGUUGUUCGGAUUCAUUGGGCGUAAAGGGUGCGUAGGCGGCGCGGUAAGUCGGGUGUGAAAUCUCGGGGCUUAACUCCGAAACUCAUUCGAUACUGCCGUGCUUGAGGACUGGAGAGGAGACUGGAAUUUACGGUGUAGCGGUGAAAUGCGUAGAUAUCGUAAGGAAGACCAGUGGCGAAGGCGGGUCUCUGGACAGUUCCUGA